GACGAACGCUGGCGGCGUGCUUAACACAUGCAAGUCGAACGGAACUCUUUGGAUCGAGACUUCGGUCAAGUGAAUCUGAGUUUAGUGGCGGACGGGUGAGUAACGCGUGAGGAACCUGCCUUUCAGAGGGGGACAACAGUUGGAAACGACUGCUAAUACCGCAUAACGCAUAUUGAUCGCAUGGUCUAUAUGCCAAAGAUUUAUCGCUGAAAGAUGGCCUCGCGUCUGAUUAGCUAGUUGGUGAGGUAACGGCCCACCAAGCCGACGAUCGGUAGCCGGACUGAGAGGUUGAACGGCCACAUUGGGACUGAGACACGGCCCAGACUCCUACGGGAGGCAGCAGUGGGGAAUAUUGCACAAUGGGGGAAACCCUGAUGCAGCAACGCCGCGUGAGGGAAGACGGUUUUCGGAUUGUAAACCUCUGUCCUCUGUGAAGAAGAAAGUGACGGUAGCAGAGGAGGAAGCCACGGCUAACUACGUGCCAGCAGCC
rnacentral:rRNA from 1 species